GACGAACCGUGCGAACGUUAUUCGGAAUCACUGGGCUUAAAGCGCGUGUAGGCGGGACGGCACGUCGGUCGCUGAAAUCCCCCGGCUCAACCGGGGAACGGGCGCCGAUACGACCGCCCUGGAGGGGCGUAGGGGGACCUGGAACUUCCGGUGGAGCGGUGAAAUGCGUUGAGAUCGGAAGGAACGCCCGUGGCGAAAGCGAGGUCCUGGACGCCUACUGACGCUGAGACGCGAAAGCGUGGGGAGCGAACAGG
rnacentral:rRNA from 1 species